GAUGAAGAACGUAGCGAAAUGCGAUAAGUAAUGUGAAUUGCAGAAUUCAGUGAAUCAUCGAAUCUUUGAACGCACAUUGCGCCCGCCAGUAUUCUGGCGGGCAUGCCUGUUCGAGCGUCAUUACAACCCUCAGGCCCCCGGGCCUGGCGUUGGGGAUCGGCGGAGCCCCCCGUGGGCACACGCCGUCCCCCAAAUACAGUGGCGGUCCCGCCGCAGCUUCCAUCGCGUAGUAGCUAACCCCUCGCGACUGGAGAGCGGCGCGGCCACGCCGGAAAACACCCAACUCUUCUGAAGUUGACCUCGAAUCAGGUAGGAAUACCCGCUGAACUUAAGCAUAUCAAUAAGCGGAGGA
rnacentral:misc_RNA from 1 species